UAUUUCCCGAUUCAUAAAAUGCUAGUUUACAGAAAAAAACAGAACGCUUCACUGCAGAUAGUAAAAUUGAAAUGUUCAGAGUUACAGAACAACAGAAUGACUACAGACUAUGAACUUAAGAUGUAGAGAUGCAAGUGUUUGUUCUAUGUUUGCUCUAUGAGGGAACAUGGUGUAUGGGACGUACUGAGGAAGUUAACUUAAUCUGGACAGCCUGUCAGGGAGAAAUAACAACAAACACAACAGUAUGCCUGGGUAAAAUUGGCUCAUUUUUGAACCCACAGAUCCGUUCCUGCCAGCACUUCAAGCAGGUAUUAUUGGUAUGGGCGUCACUCAGCAUCUGUUUACUAUGGCUGAUACUGCACACAGAAAUUGAUGCCACCUGGUGACUGUGUAUGAUGGAAAGUUGUUAGAGCUCAGGCAUUCAAGACUUUGGAGAGUUUUUUUGAGAGGUUGGAGAAAUUGUCAGAAAAUCCAGACCUGUUUCAAGAGUUAGAGAAGAAAAAAAACACCCUGCAAGCACCAGGUCGAAUGACAGGAACAUUAGGGGCUGCAGCAAACUACUUCAUAAUGUGGAUAAAUAGGUUAUGUGCUAAACAUGCGGACAAAUUGCCAGACAGCUUCAACAUUGCAGGUUUCAUCUUCCAUGCUGUCUAACAAAGAGAGAAGUACAUGAAAUGCUGUGUUUGGAUGCUCAGAAUGAGAAAGUACCACCAAUUAGUUACAGCCACAUGAUGUUAAGAGGGAAGAAACAGUUAACACACAUUAAAAUCCCCAAGAAAUCAAGAUUUAGUCAAAUUGUGACGUCUGCAUCAAACUAAAAGACAAACUUGCCACCUGUCAAGACAAGACAUAGAGGGAAGAACUAAUACCGAAGACAAAGAGGCAUUUAGAGCAGCAGAACACAGAGAGGCAGAAAUACAAUAAGCAACUACCGAAGGCCAAAUGUACACUAUCCAAGUAUGUCAGCAUCAUAUUGGAUGCCAGGGACAAGGAUAGAACUUCCAUCCCAAAGAUGUAUGAAACAGCCAAAUCAUUAGGAAAUUUUUGGAAAGUAAAAAUCAAUCUGAUGAGUGCAAUAGUACAUGGGUAUGGACAAAUAUGGCUUCUUCUUUCAAUGGAGUCACAGUGCUGCGUAUACAAUUUCAAUCCUGGUACAAUUGCUUUUGUUGUUGGACAACAUCCCAGAAAAGCUGUACAUACAGCUAGACAACUGCCCUGGUCAAAACAACAGGUUUGUUCUUGCAUUUCUAUCAUAACUAGUGGAAGAAAAUUUUUCCAAAAUGUUAAACUAUCCUUCCUGACAGUGGGACCUACACAUAUAGACAAAGAUCAACUAUUGAGUCGGUUAGAUCCCAUUUGUACAGGUUCAAACUGUGGAUUUUAACAGUCAUGAGACAGAUCCAUUUCACAGAAAAAAACACCUACGAGAUGCGGAAUCAAAACUUAUACCUGCAGUGACUGGAGGUGAGGUUCAAAUAAGGUUCUUGCCAAAAAAUAGGUAUAAAGACAAGUGAAGUAUACAACUUUCAAGAGUGACUGCAUUAAACUACAUCAUUCAUACCCACAUGUAUUUAGACUGACCAGUAAUGAAAAUGUGAAGGCAAUAAUAAAAUACAAGAAGUGGACAACUGACAAGCUGUAUUGAAAAAGACAUUAAUGGCAGCCAAAGACCUUCCAUUGUGACAACUUCAGAAUUUGAUGAUGUGACCUAAGAAACAGGGAUAUGCUGGAAGUUGUAAAAGCAAGAAAUGCAAUAACUUGUUUCGGGUUUGACAAGCCAUGGGUGGUCUGUUCUGUUCCUAAGAUGACUAGGGAACAGGAUGCAGCUUUAUGGCAUUUAAGAGAGGAGAACAAUUAUACAUAUGGUAACGGUGUGUGAGAGUUUGGGCUUGUAACAAAACCGAGCCUGUCUUGUGCCUCACAUAUCCUGGACAAGGGUGAGAUCUGACCUACCAGCAUGCUGUAUAUACUGUGGAGAUAAAGAACACCUGCUGGAAGAUACAGAUCUGUAUAUCACAAAACUUUGUUAAAAUUUUGUGUGUACAUCCACUGUGUACAACCUAUCAGUGAAAUGAUAGUGAUGCCAAAACUUUGGUAGUAAAUUCUUCAAGAAACAAAAAAGAUGUUAUAUAUGUGAUACACCUUCAGUGUUUACUGAAAAAUGAAUUCUGUGUAAAAACAUGUACGCUAGUGGAGUAGAUUUUCAUUCCAACAUUGCUUAUACAAUAUUGUGAUAAAUUCAAAGGAAAAAUUAUUGAAUAACAUUAAUACACAUAUUGAUAACAUGUGACAUGAUGUGCUUUAAGUUUUGAGACAGAAGAUAUUUGAAUGAAACCAUUUUAGUCAGUUGUAUUCUUAUUAGAAUUAUUGUUCAGAUGUAUAAAAUUUUCAAACAAGUUUUUUUUUUCACCCUGAAGAAGGCUCUGUUAGUAUUGUAAGAAGUCCAAAAGUUGGGCUUAAAUUAACAUUGUCAAACUAAACCUGCUUUGGUUGUGUGGUUACAUUACACUUCCAUGUCUUAUUAAAGUUAAUGUUAAGCCAGUCUAAUUUGUUAAAAUAUUAUGCCUCCGCUUUGGGAUUAAGACAGUGUUGAGGCAUUUUCUUUCAGUGCCCUAACUCUGGUCUUAGUUGAAUGGUUUAAUAGUUUAAUUACUUUCCCAAACUGCUGUAGGUUUGAGUUGCAAAAGGGGUACAAAUAAUGAUAAAUGAAAUUAGUUAAGGAUUUACUUACAAAACGCUCCUGUAGUCUUCAAAAUCUGUAGAAAAACUAUCUAAUGUAUUAACCACACAGUGAAUUUUUGGUUACUGUGUAAUUUUUAAAGUACUGGUACUGUUCACUUCCUAUCAGUUCAUACCCACUUCUUUUUGGGUCUUUUUGGUAGAAAAACUUUUGCUUGGUUCAUGUAAAAUCUAACCGCUUCUUAAAAAGUCAGAUUUGAGGAAAAAAAAAGAAAAGAAUGCUGUUUAUUGUUUUUUGUAUUGAAGUCAGACAAGUAAUAGAGAAUAUUUGUUGUUUUUAUAAUAUCAGACAAGAAAUAGAGAAUGAUAUCUUUUGUUGGAAUUGUAUUAUCAGGCAGGAAAUAGAAUAUGAGGUCAAACUGCUGGCCAGAUUACGACGAAACUUGACUGGAGUGAUCAGUACCAUGCCUAGGUGUGCAUAUCGCCGACACGUUCCACUUCGCUGUACAUUUUUGUGACAAGAACAGCUUCUAGUUUUAGAAGUGUAUUUCUGUUAGUCUUUGUCUAAAAGUGUAUUUACUGGUAGGCUGUUUCUAAAAGUGUAUGAAGCAGAUGAUGAAAAGGUUAAUUCGUUUACUGGUAGUAGUAUAUAUAAAAUAAUGUUUUGUAUUUUUCUUGUUUCAUAUCUCAGGUGUAAAAGUUCCAAUUAUUGAAUUCUUAACAUAGAUACACCUGUAUAAAACAUAUAUAAAAUCUAACUCAAAGCCAUGUAUAUACACAGGUAGUGAGACACUCACUUAUUAUAUCAGACAAUUAAGGUUUAGGAAUAUAUCUUCAAAACACAGAAAUAUUUGACAAACAAUAAACAAACAACAUCUUUACCAACUAUCUACCUGACUAUUGCAUGUUCUGCCAUACUGUCCCAUACAAUGGAUAGUUUAAAACAUUCUAAAAAAACUGGCCCCUCUUUAAAAAUGAAUACCAUUUGUAAAGAAAUGAAAAUAAACAAUUGCUGAAAAGUACGUUCAACCUAGUAAUGUGAAAUUUCAGCACUGGGACAUAAUGUUUUUUUCACUUUUCAAAAAGAAACCAGUACGUGUAUUCACUCAGGCAUGUAUUUAGUCUGAACCUUGAAAGCAAAGCGUAACUAACGUUUUCUUUUGUAGUUUGACUGAAAAUGGUAUGUAUUCCACUUAGGUAGGAAAGUUAUGAGAUACUUGUGAAUACAAAUUAGUUCUGACUGUCCAUGCAGCUGCCCAAAGCAUAGGGUUAUAAAGCAAUCUAACAAAUUUUUAACCAUAUCCUCAGAUUUAUAUUUCAUAUUAAAAGAGUAAAAGGAGAGACUGUCUGCGCUUUUUUCUAAAUUUUUACAAAAUUUGCGGGGUUAUAAUGUAUUUAAUAGUGUCAUGAUGUAUUUAAUAGUGUCAUUUAAAGUAUUUUUAUCUGACUUUUGAUUUUAAUACUUCUAUCAUGACUGUGUCGUAGAUACAGGUGUGUAAAUUGAAGUCACACUCAUUAAUUUUUCAAAAUGAAGUACAAUCUUACUGCUGUUGACAAAAAGUGUUUGAUGCCACUACUUGAUCCCACAGUAUUAUACACAAAACCAUUCUAACUCCUACUUUUCAAUAACAAGGUGUUCCUGGAAUGGUGCACAUACAGUCCAGCCAAAGUUCACUGUGGGGCUAGCUACUAUAACCUUAUACGGACAUAAAAGAUUUCUUAAAUCUAUUGUGUUUUGCCAUUUAAUUAUAAAACAUUGCUGAAUAAAAGUUUUGUAUAAACUUUCACAUAUAUUUAUCUAUUAGUAUAUAAAAGCAUUCUACACAAGAGAUAAAAAUUUUCACCAGUUUACAUAAACUAUAACUUAUUACAUAUGGGUUCUAGAUAUAGAGAAUAAUAGGUUAGUGCCGUAGAUGAGAAAGUUUAUCUGGCGAGGUGGAGGACGGUUAUCGGGUGAGCCG
rnacentral:lncRNA from 1 species